rnacentral:rRNA from 1 species
UAUCUCUGUAGAGUCUGCAUAUCAAUAAGCGGAGGAAAAGAAACUAACUAGGAUUCCCUCAGUAACGGCGAGUGAAGCGGGAAGAGCUCAAAUUUGAAAUCUUCAAGGUUCUACCUUGACGAAUUGUAGUUUAAAGAAGUGUUUUCUGUUGGAGUUUUGGUAAAAGUUCUUUGGAAUAGGACAUCAUAGAGGGUGAGAAUCCCGUAUUUGACCAUUACUAUUCCAGCGUUGUGAUACACUUUCAAAGAGUCGGAUUGCUUUGGGAAUGCAGUCCAAAAUGGGUGGUAAAUUUCAUCUAAUGCUAAUACUGGCGAGAGACCGAUAGCGAACAAGUACCGUGAGGGAAAGAUGAAAAGAACUUUGAAAAGAGAGUUAAACAGUACGUGAAAUUGUCAAAAGGGAAGCGUUUGACACCAGUGUUGUUUUCUCGAAAAUCAAUUAAAAAAAGUUGGAUUUUGUAUUGUUAAGACCUUAUCAGCUUACUGUACUCUUUUCUUGCUUUUUUUAAUGCACUUUUCGUUUAACAAGUCAACAUCAAUUUCUUUUGUUGUAAAAGAGUCAUUGGAAGGUGGCUUUCACUUCGGUGAAAGUGUUUAUAGCCUUUGGCUUCUGCAAUCGGAGAGAUUGAGGUCUGCAGCGUAGAUCCUUCGGGGCUAGAUACGUAGAUGCUAAGUUAUAGUUUUUUAUAGACAACUUGUUGACUAUAAUUAAUCAUGUAGCUUACUCGUUUGCGCUAUUUUACCUACGCUUAGGAUGUUGACGAUCAGCUGAGCGCG